rnacentral:rRNA from 1 species
GACGAACGCUGGCGGCGUGCCUAACACAUGCAAGUCGAACGGAGUUACCCUUCGGGGUAGCUUAGUGGCGAACGGGUGAGUAACGCGUGAAGAACCUGCCUUUCAGUGGGGGACAACAGUUGGAAACGACUGCUAAUACCGCAUAAUGUCAUUUGGGGGCAUCCCCGAAUGACCAAAGAUUUAUUGCUGAAAGAUGGUCUCGCGUCUGAUUAGCUAGUUGGUGAGGUAACGGCUCACCAAGGCGACGAUCAGUAGCCGGUCUGAGAGGAUGAACGGCCACAUUGGGACUGAGAUACGGCCCAGACUCCUACGGGAGGCAGCAGUGGGGAAUAUUGGGCAAUGGGGGAAACCCUGACCCAGCAACGCCGCGUGAAGGAAGAAGGCCUUCGGGUUGUAAACUUCUUUUACCAGGGACGAACAAAUGACGGUACCUGGAGAAAAAGCAACGGCUAACUACGUG